rnacentral:rRNA from 1 species
ACGUGUAGCAGUGAAAUGCGUAGAGAUGUGGAGGAACACCGAUGGCGAAGGCAGCCCCCUGGGAUAACACUGACGCUCAUGCACGAAAGCGUGGGGAGCAAACAGGAUUAGAUACCCUGGUAGUCCACGCCCUAAACGAUGUCAACUGGUUGUUGGAAGGGUAACCUUUUAGUAACGAAGCCAACGCGUGAAGUUGACCGCCUGGGGAGUACGGUCGCAAGAUUAAAACUCAAAGGAAUUGACGGGGACCCGCACAAGCGGUGGAUGAUGUGGUUUAAUUCGAUGCAACGCGAAAAACCUUACCUACACUUGACAUGCCAGAAAUCCUGCAGAGAUGUGGGAGUGCCGCAAGGAAUCUGGGCACAGGUGCUGCAUGGCUGUCGUCAGCUCGUGUCGUGAGAUGUUGGGUUAAGUCCCGCAACGAGCGCAACCCUUGUCACUAGUUGCUACAUUUAGUUGGGCACUCUAGUGAGACUGCCGGUGACAAACCGGAGGAAGGUGGGGAUGACGUCAAGUCCUCAUGGCCCUUAUGUGUAGGGCUACACACGUCAUACAAUGGUCGGUACAGAGGGUUGCCAACCCGCGAGGGGGAGCUAAUCUCACAAAGCCGAUCGUAGUCCGGAUCGCAGUCUGCAACUCGACUGCAUGAAGUCGGAAUCGCUAGUAAUCGUGGAUCAGCAUGUCUCGGUGAAUACGUUCCCGGGUCUUGUACACACCGCCCGUCACACCAUGGGAGUGGAAUCCGCCAGAAGUAGUUAGCCUAACCGCAAGGAGGGCGAUUACCACGGUAGGUUUCAUGACUGGGGUG